rnacentral:lncRNA from 1 species
UAUUGAUUAGGGUCAAUGUAACCAUCUGCUCUGAUCAGUAGCUACAAAUGGAUCUCAGAUGCUGUCCCCCAGCUUUCUUCAAUUAAGCUGGGAGGAAGCCAGUUCCCAUGGCAGUGCUUUUAAGGACUGAUAAGGGCACUUGUAGCCUUCUGAGGGCCUUGAUCCAAGAAGCAUUAGCAGGAGUGGGGAGUGUGGUGGCAGUAUCAUUGUCAUUUUCAACAAUGGAAACUUUCACAAGGAGUACACCCACAAGAGAGCAAGAAGGAAGGAGAAUGAUCUUAAUGUGCCUAUUUCAAGGGGGAAAAAAAAGUUACGAGGCAUCAUAGAAAUACUUUCAUAAACAAAGAAAUUCAGUACAUCCGCCACAGCCUACAAAAG